UACAGAGGGUGCGAGCGUUAAUCGGAAUUACUGGGCGUAAAGCGCGCGUAGGCGGCUUUGCAAGUCGGGUGUGAAAUCCCCAGGCUUAACCUGGGAACUGCAUUCGAGACUGCAUUGCUAGAGUAUGGGAGAGGGAAGUGGAAUUUCCGGUGUAGCGGUGAAAUGCGUAGAGAUGUGGAGGAACACCGAUGGCGAAGGCAGCCCCCUGGGCUAACACUGACGCUCAUGCACGAAAGCGUGGGGAGCAAACAGG
rnacentral:rRNA from 1 species